UAAAGGUUGAGUUUAUUGCGGUGUGCAAUUAAACUUUUACAGUUUUACUCCUUCCGUCGCUAAAAUAUCUUCAUUUAUUUUAUUUUUUGUUUGUCCUCAACAUAUAUUUCUUAGCUAUUUUUAAAUAUAACAUUAACUCAAUUCUUACAAUUUCUAUAUAUUUACACACAUUAUUAUUAAUGGGUCUACUGCCUACAUAUUAUUAUUUUAAUUGAUUCAUUAAUCACUGUCAUCAUUUUUUCUAAUUUGUGAUACAUAUUCUCCAUUUAUUAAAUACAAAACUAAUUUUUAUGCAAAUUUGUGUUGUCUCUCUUUAGAAAGAUGUUGCACGGAUGGAAUGAAUAUUUAUUUUUAGUAGUUUGUCCUUCAAAUUUUAUUAUAAUUCACUUAAGGCGUUCUCAUUUUAGUUUUAAUCUAUAUAUAAUACCCACUUCGACCACAAUAUCGUUGCGACUUUGUGACCGACACAUAUUUUAAGAAAGUGAUAGAUGAUAGAUAGUUGAUAAUAGUGAGGAUUGUUGUAACUGGAGUUUGGGAGUUUGUGAAUCCUACUACUAUAAAUGGACCUGACAAUGAUAUUAUGGAGUAUAAAAGAUGAGUUUUUUACAUCCAAAAAUCCUCUCUCCUCUCCCUUUUCCUCCAAAAUUUCUUUUUCUUUUUUUAUAUUUUAAUUAUUUUAAAAAAAAUCACUAAGUUUGAUUCGUAAAAGAAUAUUCAAUAUGAAUGUUAAAUUAAAUAUUACAAUAAGAUCUAUA
rnacentral:lncRNA from 1 species